rnacentral:rRNA from 1 species
UACAGAGGGCGCGAGCGUUGUCCGGAUUUAUUGGGCGUAAAGAGCUCGUAGGCGGCUUGUUGCGUCGGCUGUGAAAACCCAUGGCUCAACCGUGGGCUUGCAGCCGAUACGGGCAGGCUAGAGUUCGGUAGGGGAGACUGGAAUUCCUGGUGUAGCGGUGAAAUGCGCAGAUAUCAGGAGGAACACCGGUGGCGAAGGCGGGUCUCUGGGCCGAUACUGACGCUGAGGAGCGAAAGCGUGGGGAGCGAACAGG